CGUCUAGGCGGGGAAUUAAGUUAGGUGUGAAAUCCCUGGGCUCAACCCAGGAACUGCAUCUAAAACUGGUUCUCUUGAGUUCGGGAGAGGAGAGCGGAAUUCCCGGUGUAGCGGUGAAAUGCGUAGAUAUCGGGAAGAACACCAGUGGCGAAGGCGGCUCUCUGGCCUAGAACUGACGCUGAAGCGCGAAAGCGUGGGGAGCGAACGG
rnacentral:rRNA from 1 species